AUUUUGUUGGGGCGACAGAGAAAUAUUUAAAACUUUCUUUAAAUUUACAAGCCGAUAUUGUUAAGUAAGGAUAAAUUACCUGAGGGAUAACAGCAUAAUUCUACAGUUGAGUUUGUGACCUCGAUGUUGGACUAGGAAACUAACAGGCUAGCCGUUUGUUGUGUGGGUUCUGUUCGACUCUAAUUCCU
rnacentral:rRNA from 1 species